AAAAAUUCCAGAGCAAAAUGGACACAUCAUACAUCGUCAGGGAUUUACCAGUACUUUAUCAAAGUGGUCCCAACAGUCUACACUGACUUGACA